UUUAGCUAGGCGCCACAGCAGUCUCUCCGACGCAGCCUAAGGGAACGGUCGUUACUGUCGGCAACGCAGGACCGCCGUUUCAACGCCAGCGAGUCUACGGCGGUGGCCGGGAGAGUCGGAGGUGGGGACCGGACAUCCAGGGACAGGGAAAGGGGCACCUCGUCGUGAACGUCGGGUCGCUCGAAGACGAUCACGCAAGCGAUCGCCGUGUCGAUUCUUCGCUAACUGCCCGGUUCCGUGAGCCACCACUGCACCAGCGGCAGCCAUCAUGAGCGAUGACCUUGACUUCCCAGCAGAUCGUUCGGGGGCGUCGAGUCCGCACGAUGAGGGCGACGGGCCACCGGCCAUUGAAGCGGUGCCGCUCGACGAUGACGACCAGGAGGAUCAGCACUCUCCUUACACCAAGGGCAUCAUAGCGGUCGUGGGCUCGCAGGCGAAGCCACACAUAUGCUACCGUUAUCCGCUCACUCCGGUUUACAUCAAGCUCCCCAAGUCCAUCCGGGAAAUCGGAGAUAUCUACAUGCAGAUGGUGAUGCCCGUCGACUUUAAGAGGGUGAACUGGGAGUUCACGCAUUCGGCGGAUACGCGCCACGUGUGGAACUCCACCGAGAUCGUGAGCACGGGCCAACACAAGGUGCGCGUAAAUUUUCAGGACCUGGUGGAUGGCAAGGAGGACAAGUACGAAUGGCACAACUCGGACGUUGGCUCGGUAGCCCCCGUCUUCAAGCCGCACAGCGAGCACUUCAUGCAGCUGCACUACGACGACAAGGAGAAGCAGCUCGUGACGUACGUCAACGGCCGCGAGUACAAUAGGCACGACAUGGACGAAGGCGGCAUCGCCAACGAGUUCACGCUGUACGGCACCGUCUUCAUCCCCGAACUGGUCAUUCCAUGCGAGUUCAAGACAAUGCCACUCACGGUUAACCUGAACGGGGCAGUGGCGUACAACGACACCUACACCAUCCGGUUCCACGUGAAAUCGCCUGGCAAGAAGCUGAUGCUGAAUUUUGGCGAGAUCACGUUCAACAUCGACCUGGAGGAGCACAAGGACGAGCUGCACCGUUCCACGCACGAGGAGCUGCAGGUAUCCUCGCACUCGAGCUGCGCCUUCCUCAGCCUGAACCGCAAGAUGAUUGCCAACUCCAUGCGCCGGCUGGUCACGCCCGUCAUGAUCGUCGACGGCGACAUCCAGAUCAUCAACCUGCAUAUCGGAAAGGGCUAAACGCUGGGCUGCAACGACCUCACUUUCUUGCCGUAAGAGCCACAUCUGCCUUCACAAUUUCUCCUCGGUCCUGUUUUUUUUUUCUUACUCACUUGGUUCUCCGUCCACGGUGGUGGGUUAAUAAAACCUCUCUAUUUCUACCGCAUAA